UACGUAGGCAGCGAGCGUUGUUCGGAAUUACUGGGCGUAAAGAGUGUGUAGGCGGUGCUCUAAGUUCGGUGUGAAAUCUCCCGCUUAACUGGGAGGGUGCGCCGGAAACUGGAGUGCUCGAGCGUGGGAGAGGAAAGCGGAAUUCCUGGUGUAGCGGUGAAAUGCGUAGAUAUCAGGAGGAACACCGAUGGCGAAGGCAGGUCUCUGGGCCGAUACUGACGCUGAGGAGCGAAAGCGUGGGGAGCGAACAGG
rnacentral:rRNA from 1 species